rnacentral:rRNA from 1 species
UACGGAGGGUGCAAGCGUUGUCCGGAAUUAUUGGGCGUAAAGGGCGCGUAGGCGGCCUGGCAAGUGAAAGGUGAAAUCCCUCGGCUUAACCGAGGAACUGCCUUUCAGACUGCUUGGCUUGAGACCGGGAGAGGUGAGUGGAAUUCCCAGUGUAGCGGUGAAAUGCGUAGAUAUUGGGAGGAACACCAGUGGCGAAGGCGGCUCACUGGACCGGUACUGACGCUGAUGCGCGAAAGCGUGGGGAGCAAACAGG